ensembl:snRNA U6 U6 spliceosomal RNA
GUGUUCACUUCAGCAGCACAUAUACUAAAACUGGAAUGACACAGAGAAGAUUAACAUGGCCCCAUAGUCAAGGCUAUGGUUUUUCCUGUGGUCAUGUAUGGAUGU